GCACACGUAGCUCAGUGGUAGAGUCCCGCACUGUCGAUGCGGUUGUCACGAGUUCGAUCCUCGUCGUGUGCGCCA
rnacentral:tRNA from 1 species